AAUAGAUGACAGAACACAAAUCGCUGCAGAACAUCCUUGUCACAUUGCUCCUACAAUAGCUCCAAUACCACCACCUCCAACAGCAAAGUUAAUUCAGAGACAAAGUAGUCGUGCAGGAGAGGCAGCAUUGUAGAAGACUGUGGCAUCAAGACUAUAGAUACCCAAUGUGGCAGCGGAAGGUGGUGGUGGAAGGUGGUGGAAGGUGGUGGUGGUAGUUGGGGUCACGUAAACAUUUACAAUUCUUGUCGAUGCUGUAUAAUUUUUUUGUGUUAACAGACAGAAUCAACAUGAAGAGAAUUAACUUACUAAAUUAAUUACUCCUGUAACCCAUGUAAUCCCCUGUAGGAGACGGAUAACAGUGCCGUAUGCAGCACACAGCACAAGAAGGAGCAACUCGACGGUUUCCCCGUCCAAGGUAGCCAUAUUGGCCCAACACAUACUGUCUGUAUGCUGCUUUCCGAUAGCCGGCAGAAGAAUAGUCUGGACGCAGGUUUAAUACGUCAGCACGAUAUCUAAUGUUAAGUUGAAGAACAUCUGGAUCUAGGACCGUUGAACGGAAAUACUGCUGGGUACUGGUACAGUUAACAAGGCCACAACACACGUUCUCCCUGGCUGUUGGCAUUUCUCUGCAUCGCCCACACUUGCACCAAUUUGGUGGAGAUGGGUUGGGUGGCCCAGCAAAUGGAUGGUCUGGUUGUUCCAAGCUUGUUACAGGUAGCUCAGAAAAUUCUUGUGCAAGUGGCAAGAGAGACCUAUGUUGUAAGAGAAAUUGUACCAGUAGGCCUUUUGUCUGCUCUCCACAGUCAACAGCAUAUAAAUGGAAUAUCUAUUGCCACAUGACCAAGACCAUGGCAGAAAGAACUAAAUCUACACAGCAGUUCUUGUGAAUAGACAAAAGCUUGGUCACCAUAAUGCACCACCACCACCACCACCACCA